CCUACGGGAGGCAGCAGUGAGGAAUAUUGGUCAAUGGGCGCGAGCCUGAACCAGCCAAGUAGCGUGAAGGAUGACUGCCCUACGGGUUGUAAACUUCUUUUAUAUGGGAAUAAAACAGGGUAUGCAUACCCUCUUGUAUGUACCAUAUGAAUAAGGAUCGGCUAACUCCGUGCCAGCAGCCGCGGUAAUACGGAGGAUCCGAGCGUUAUCCGGAUUUAUUGGGUUUAACGGGAGCGUAGGUGGAUUGUUAAGUCAGUUGUGAAAGUUUGCGGCUCAACCGUAAAGUUGCAGUUGAAACUGGCAGUCUUGAGUACAGUAGAGGUGGGCGGAAUUCGUGGUGUAGCGGUGAAAUGCUUAGAUAUCACGAAGAACUCCGAUUGCGAAGGCAGCUCACUGGACUGCAACUGACACUGAUGCUCGAAAGUGUGGGUAUCAAACAGGAUUAGAUACCCCAGUAGUC
rnacentral:rRNA from 1 species